rnacentral:rRNA from 1 species
UACGGGGGGGUAAGCGUUGUUCGGAAUUACUGGGCGUAAAGGGUGCGUAGGCGGGUUUUUAAGUCAGGGGUGAAAUCCUGGAGCUCAACUCCAGAACUGCCUUUGAUACUGAAGAUCUUGAGUUCGGGAGAGGUGAGUGGAACUGCGAGUGUAGAGGUGAAAUUCGUAGAUAUUCGCAAGAACACCAGUGGCGAAGGCGGCUCACUGGCCCGAUACUGACGCUGAGGCACGAAAGCGUGGGGAGCAAACAGG